ACUCAAAUUGUGGCAUACGUUUAACCUCUCUCAAGUUUCAACAAACCAUCUUUUAAAUGACAAGGGUUGAGAAAAGUCUAAUUUAGUCUGUUUGUUAGAAGGCGCAUUUCUUCCUUUUUUAACUUAAUAAACUAGCUUUAAAAGGAGGUGGGGGGAGUGGGAGAGGCUGCAAUAUUUUCUGACCUCACCUUACAAAAUUAUACCUGGUCAUUUUAUAACAAUAAAAUCUAAAUGUAUGACACUUCUGGAGAGUACACAGACAGUGUCUUCAGACUGUGUAGUGAGAAUCAAGCAAGGCUCCGUGGCGGUACAACGGCAGACACAAAAGGAUCUUAAGGCCCAGGUUCCAAACCUUUGCCUUCCACCUGCCAUCGAGAAAAUGCUGCCUCCCCUGUGACCAAAGGCAUGAAUAUUCAAACUAGAGGGCUACUAAAUUAGUUUCUCAUUAAAAAAAAUUUUAGCUCAGGUGAGUUUUCUUCUUUACUUCUGUUCACAGUAGUUUCUAUAGAGGCUGCAUUUUGUUCUUCUAAAUAGAGGAAGCAUGACUUUUGGAAAGAUACGUGGGCCCAGUCAUGCGAUCCCAUGGGAUGUGAGAGUAAUAAAGUGUCUGGUGAGGAAACGUGAAGAGCCUAGUUCUGCUCAGCCAAGCAUGGUAGGUAUUAUGCCCAGGAGUCUAUCCUGUAGCUACCUGAAACUUCAUGGUGUUGAAGAAAAAGCACAGGAAUGGAAUUCAAAGGACUUGGAUUCUAGUUCUGGCUCAAUUCCUUUCUAGUUGUGUGACCAUAACUCAGCAUUGUGCAAAUGCACGGUUUGGCAGUAUGAGCUCUGUAUACCUUUGAAUCCACUCCUGCCCGGUCUGCCUGGAGGACGUAAAGAGAGUCUGGCAUGAACCUAUCUGCUUGAGGGACAAGAAACGUUCAGGGAAAGCCCCAACCUGAAACAAGGGAAGACAAGACAGCCCAGCAUGGGUUGUCAGCAAGAGUAAGCAGGAAACAGAGGGGAGAUCUUGAAUCCAGCAAAUCAGUGAGUGCAUCUUCCUCCCCACUUCCCGACACCCAUCCCAGGCAUGAUAGGACCCCUACCAUAGUGCACCAGACAGCAGAGGCUGUGGCCAACAAUGUAAACCAAGAGAAGAGCCUUUUUCCUAGGGUGACGACACCCAUGAGAUAUUAGUCCGUUUUCACACUGCUAUCAAGAGCUACCCGAGACUGGGUAAUUUAUAAGGAAAAGAGGCUUAAUUGAAUCACAGUUCUGCAGACUUAACAGAAAGCAUGACUGGGAGACAUCAGGAAAUUUACAAUCAUGGCAGAAGGCAAAGGGAAAGCCAGGGCCUUCUUCUCAUGGUUGCAGGAGAGAGAGUGUGAGCGAGCGGGGAACUGCCACUCACUUUUAAAUCAUCAGAUCCAAUGAGAACUUACGAACACAAGAACAGCAUGGGGGAAUGGCCCCCAUAAUCCAGUCACCUCACACAAGAUCCCUCCCCCGACAUGGGGAUUACAGUUUGAGAUGAGAUUUGGGUGGGGUCACAGAGCCAAACCAUAUCACUUGAUUUGCCUGGGAUAACCUUGUCUUAGAUGCCUAUUGUCCUGGCAUCAUUAUCAAUAGCUCCUUCCCUUCAUUAUCAAAAGUGCUCAGAUUUAGGUGUUAAAGUAUGUGGUCACCUGCUUUUUGGAGAUAUUUCUGUGAGUUGAAGAAAGCCAGGAGGUGGUGCCACUUUGUAGAAUGUGUCACCAUGUAGCUCCCAGGGUAGAACUGAGGAACCCUUCCUUGCUGAGGUGCCUGAAACAGAUGCAGAGUGCUGAGUGGAGAACUCAGACUGUUCAGACUGGGGACGCAGAGCAGAAUUGUGGGCUGGUAGCACCGGAAACAUCAUCACAACCCACAGAGUGGAGCCCAGGAGAUUGGCCAUGCGAGGGAUGACUGAAAGGCCUGUGCAUGGGAGAACAUGUAUAAGACACCCCACAAACCCCUGAAUGUAAGGGGAAACUGAGUGGAGGCAGAGAUCCGUGGUUUUGCUAUUGGAAAGUGGCGGGGUUGUUGACCACAUCUUUCCCAGCCUAGGGGACUGUCAAGCUCAUCCCUUCAUGCCCCCCAGGUGCAUGUGGAGGUGUGUGCAGUGUAGGAAUAGCAUAGGAGCAGCGGCACAGGCUUCACAUCACUCUUGGACUUUCAAGUGAUGCUCCCAGUGGAGGUCUUUCAUCAGGCCCAGCCCCCAACCUCAUUCUAGGCAAUGUGUCCUUUCUGGCGGUCAGUUCCUAAGGACCUUCUGGUGGUCCCUUUACUUCUCCCUCCCAGUCUCCUGCCCACAACGCCAGUGAGAGAUCAGGGUUACAGGAAACAGUUUCCCUUUCCUGCCUCUGAUUUCCUCUCAUCUAGACACUCUAUCUAAACUCAAGAAUUCCUUUUCCCUAUGGCCUUAUAUUUCAUCAAAAUAUACAUAUAAAGUAGAAAUAUUUUAUACUUUUUGUUUUAUUAUAUACUUAAAUGUAUGUAUGUGUAUCUUAUUUUUUAUUAAUAUUUAUAUUGAAAUAUAAAUUUAUUUAAAAUGUGAAGACAAAUUCUGGACAUACUCUCCACCUACCCUCAUGACUCCCUAAAACACAGAGCCAACUUCCUGUUUAAAUGGAAGAAAGAGAGAUGGAAAAUUAUAAGGAGAAAAAUAACACAUUGAUUUCCCAUAACAAAUUACCAGAAACAAAGUGACUUUAAAACAACACAAAUUUAUUAUUUUUACAUUUUGCAGGUCAGAAGUCUGGGUGGGUGCAGAUGAUUCCUCUGCUCUGGGUCUCACGAGUCCAGAAUCAAGGUGUUGGCCACCCUAGCCUCUUAUAUGGAAGCUUGUGGGUGUGGCAGGGGAGGAUCUGCUUCUAGGUUCAUUCAGGCUAUUGGCGCCAAUCAGUUCCAUGUGGCCAUAGGUCCCUCUUUCCAUCCUAGCUGUCAGCUGGAUGUCAUUCUCUGCCUUUAAAGGCUGUUGGUCCCCAGCUCAUAGCCCCUGUAAUGGUUAAUUUUAUGUAUCAACUUGACUGAGUAACAGGGCACCCAAAUAUUUGGCCAGACAUCAUUCCAGGUGUUUCUAUGAGAAUCGUAUUGGAUGCGCUUAGCAUUUGAAUCAAUAGUCUUAGUAAAGCAGAUGGCCCUCCCUAAUGAGGGUGGGCCUCAUCCAAUCAGUGGAAGGCCUAAAGAGAACAGAAGACUGACCCUCUCCAAAGUAAGAAAGAAUUCCUCCUGCCUAAUGCCUUAGAAAUAGGACAUGGGCAAAGACAUCAUGACUAAAACACCAAAAGCAAUUGCAACAAAAGCCAAAAUGGACAAAUGGGAUCUAGUUAAACUAAAGAGCUUCUGCACAGCAAAAGAAACCAUCAUCAGAGUGAACAGGCAACCUAAAGAAUAGGAGAAAAUUUUUGCAAUUUAUCAUCUGACAAAGGUCUAAUAUCUAGAGUCUACAAAGAACUUAAACAAAUUUACAAGAAAAAACAACCCCAUCAAAAAGUGGUUGAAGGAUAUGAACAGACACUUCUCAAAAUAAGACAUUUAUGCCCCCAAGAAACAUAUGAAAAAAAGCUCAUCAUCACUGGUCAUGAGAGACAUGCAAAUCAAAACCGCAGUGAAAUACCAUCUCAUACCAAUGAGAAUGGUGAUUAUUAAAAAGUCAGGAAACAACAGAUGCUGGUGAGGCUAUGGAGAAAUAGGAAUGCUUUUACACUGUUGGUGGGAGUAUAAGCUAGUUCAACCAUUGUGGAAGACAAUGUGGCAAUUCCUCAAGGAUCUAGAACCAGAAAUAACCAUUUGACCCAGCAAUCCCAUUACUGGGUAUAUAUCCAAAGGAUUAUAAAUCAUUCUACUAUAAAGACACAUGUACAAGUAUGUUUAUUGCAGCACUAUUUACAAUAGCAAAGACUUGGAACCAACCCAAAUGACCAUCAAUUGUAGACUGGAUAAAGAAAAUGUGGCACAUGUACACCAUGGAAUACUAUGCAGCCAUGAAGAAGAAUGAGUUCAUGACCUUUGCAGAGACAUGGAUGAAGCUGGAAACCAUCAUUCUCAGCAAACUAACACAGGAACAGAAAACAAAACGUCGCAUGUUCUCACUCAUAAGUGGGAGUUGAACAAUGAGAACACAUGGACACAGAGAGGGGAAUAUCACACACUGGGGCCUGUCAGGAGGUUGGAGGCAAGGGGAGGGAGAGCAUUAGGAGAAAUACCUAAUGCAUUCAGGGCUUAAAACCUAGAUGACAGGUUGAUAAGUGCAGCAAACCACCAUGGCACAUGUAUGCCUAUGUAACAAACCUGCACGUUCUGCACGUGUAUCCCAGAAUGUAAAGUAAAAGAAAAAAAAAAAAAGAAAGAAAAAAGACAUGGGUUUUUUUUUCUUGCAUGCAGACUCAAACUAAAAUACUGGCUCUUCCUGUGUCUCUAGCUUGCCAACUCACUCUGCAAGUCUUGGGACUUGUCAGCCUCCAUAAUUAUUUAAGCUGAUUUCUUAUAAUAAAUCUCUCUUCAUCUUCAAAGCCUGCAACAGUGGGCUGUAGUCCCUUUCACAUGUUGAAUCUCUUUCACUUCCUUUUCUGAUGAAUCUUUCUUUGCUUACAAAUGGAGAAAGUUCUCUGCUUUUAAGGCCUUAUGUGAUUAGAUUGGUUCCUCCCAAUAAUCUCCCUAUUUUAAAGUCCAAAGCCUUAAUUUCAUCUGCAAAGUCUCUUUCCCUAUAUAAUACAGCAUAACCAAGGUGUAUCAACAGAGAGUAUGUCACAGGAGCCAAGAUUCUGAUUACCCGCAACUUAGUAUCUCAAGAGUAGCCAGCUACACUACCCUUCUUGUAGCUCCUUGUUCAACCCCAGCCAAAGGGGAAACCCUGAAGAAACAAGUGAAGAAAUAUAAAAUGGAAAACACCCAAAGCACAUGCUGAGGUGAGGAUCAAAUAAGGAUGGUUGAAGAGUUCAGCGGAGAGUGUUGAAACUUUGCAUACAAAACAGGCGGUGUAGAGCCACAUCCCUACAGCCCUUGUCUAAUGUUUGCAUAAUCCCUUCUCAGAGGAGGCCACCGCAGUCCCUUAGCAGUCACAGAUGUUAUAGAGAGCAGCCAGGAGCAAAAAACACAGUCCUCAUUCUUAAAGGACCAGCCUAGGAAGAGAAUGGGAAGACAGAGCAGAGGAAUGAAUCAGAAACCAGCAAGACAUAGGAGAGAAGUGGUGCCAGAUUGGGAAUGAUGUUUACUGAGUCUUCGAUGUCUUUUCUUUUUUUCUUUUAAUUUUUUUUUUGGUGAUGUAUAAAUUUAAAUGCACAGAGUGAGCGUGAAUAUGAGCGUAUAUGACAUCCCAAUUAACCUUGGUGACUCUCUAGCACUGAGAAGCCACUUUAACCUUAAUGCCAGCUGGUGACCUUGCCCUGAAUCUUCAGAAAUUGCUCCCCUAGCUGGACCGGGUGUCCUCAGCUGCCAUGAAGUUGCUGGGGCAAACUGGUAGGAGACAGUGGAGCUGAAAGAGGAGAGGGGAUGAUAGACAGAAAUCUUGGAGCAAUAUCCACGUUCUUUAACUCAAAUUGACUACAUAAACUAGAAGCUUGAAAGUAGAGGUCAAUGUGUUCUCAGGACAGUUAUUAAAAUUGUAUUCUCAGUCUUCUCCCAUCCAGUAUUGCAAAGCUGUUUUUGUAGUAAAGAAAGCAAUUCAUGUUUCAUAUCUGCUGUCAUUAUAAAAGAAGUCACAGCUACAAGUCUAGACUUUUAUGUUUAUUUCAAAAGGACUUGUCCUUAUGAAAUAAUCAUUGUUUUAUGCCAGCUCUGCUUUAUUGAUCUACUAUGUACCUGAAAUUAUUUAGAUCAGGGAAAUAAGACUUUCUUCUCUUUCCAGCAUGCAGGGAAAAAUUGUCCUAGACUCCUGAGAAUAUUAUAAACAUCUGAUAUUAGAAACACAUUGGAGUUAUAUUUUUUAUUUAUUAAGUUCAGUUUCAUAUAUGCCCCAUAUUGAAAGAUUUUACUACUUCCCUCAUUAAGAAAAAAAGUUAUACCUUCAAUUGUGAGUCAUUUUUGUUUCUACAAAGUAAGAAGGAAAAAGAGAGGGCAAAGUGAAGGAGGAGGAAAAGGAGGAAGAGGAAGAAGAGGGGAGUAAAGAGAAGGGAGAGGGAGUAAAGAAAGGGAGGAGGGAAAGAUGCAAGGAGAGAAAGAGACAGGGAAGGAAAAAGAAAAAGGAGAAGAAAUUAUUUAUAGUUAUCUGGAUUUUAUAGUUCUCCUGUGAGCUGGUGGUCCAUAUGAGGAAGCAAAGGGGUUAAAAAAUUUAUGGCAAUGAUUGUGGAGUCACCAGUUAGUGAGCACUGGCCUGGAGGGAAAAUUCUUAUAUUCUCUAGCCUCAGCUUUUAAUGGCACUUCCAUGAUUCAUUGUCUUAUAACCAAAUAAUUUUGGGGGAAGUUCAUGGCAGAUGUCCUUGGCUAUAAAUGAUUUUUAUAUGCUCUAGGAAUCACUUCUUUUUAUCUGUCUUACAGAUGAAAAUGUAAAGUGUAGCUUUCAGGUGCUAAUGUACUACAUUCGUUAAUAUUGAUAGGAAGGUAAGCCCUCUGUGACUCAAUAUUAACCUUUAAUAUUUAUUUUAUUACUUAUGCAAGAUAAUUUAAAGACCCAUAUUUUCUGUUGAUGAGUGUGAAUUGCACUUUUUUCUUGCUUUGCCUUCCUAAGACUAUCUGGCUGUUGUCAGAAAGGGUAGCCAGUUCUAUUGGGGUGUGAGAAGGAGGCCUCUGCAUGAGAAGCCCGUGUUGGCUGAUUUAUGUUUAAUGCUUUCUCCAAACACUACAAUUCACCCAAAUUAGAUUUUGAACAUAUUUUUUGCCCGAUGUGAAGUAUCUCCUUUUUUUUGGUUACUUGCUGGAACAGAAUUCUAAACUGUUACCCUUUCAAUGUCUCCCAAUGUUUCUUCAGAGGUUUUUUAUGUAUUGAACAAAAAGUUUUCAAUCCAGGUCAGAAGGAUCAUUUCUUAUGUCAUCUCCUAAGAGUUUUAUAAUUUUGCAUUUUACUCUAAGUCUUUAAUACACCUGAAAUUGAUUCUUAUUUAUGGUAUAAGGUAAACAUCUAAUUCCAUUUUUUAAAUGACCCAUUUAAAAGUUAGUCCCAGAUUAUUUAUUGAAAAUUUGCAGACCCAGAAAUAAAGCCACACAUCUACCAGCAUCUGAUCUUUGAUGAAGUUAACAAAAAUAAGCAAUGAGGAAAGGACACCCACCCAAUAAGUGGGCGCUGGGAUUACUGGCUAGCCAUAUGCAGAAGAAUGAAACUAGAUGCCUAUCUAUCACCAUAUGCAAAAAUUAACUCAAGAUAGAUUAAAGACUUAAGCUUCAGACCUAAAAUUAUAAAAAUCCUAGAAGAAAACCUAGGAAAUACCCUUCAGGACAUUGGCCUUAACAAAGAAUGUAUGACUAAGUCCCCAAAAGCAAUUGCAACGCAAAUGAACUUUGAGGCCGUGUGCGGUGGCUCACACCUGUAAUCCCAGCAUUUUGGGAGGCCAAGGUGGGUGGAUCACCUGAGGUCAGGAGCUCAAGACCAUCCUGGCCAACAUGGUGAAACCCUGUCUCUACUAAAAAUACAAAAAUCAGCCGGGAGUGGUAGUGCAUGCCUGUAAUCCCAGCUACUCGGGAAGCUGAGGUGGGAGAAUCGCUUGAACCUGGGAGGCAGAGGUUGCAGUGAGCCGAGAUCACACCAUUGCACUUUAGCCUGGGUGACAGAGUGAGACUCCACCUCAAAAAAAAAAAAAGGAAAAUUGACAAUUGGGGCCUAAUUAAACUAAAGAGCUUCUGCACAGAAAAAGAAACUAUCAACAGAGUAAACAGACAACCUACAGAAUUGGAGAAAUAUUUGCAGAUUAUGCAUCCAACAAUGGUCUACUAUCUAGGAUCUGCAAAGAACUUAAACAAAUUAACAAGCAAAAAACAACCCCAUUGAAAAGUGGGCAAAGCCGUUAACAGACGUUUCUCAAAAAGCCGUUAACAGACAUACAAGCAUCCAACAAACGUAUGAACAAAUGCUCACCGUCACAAAUCAUGAGUGAAAUGCAAAUCAAAACCACAAUGGGAUACCACCUCACACCAGUCGGAAUGGCUAUUACUAAAAAGUCAAAGAAUAACAUGUGUUGGUGAGGCUAUAAAGGAAAGGAAACACAUACACUGUUGGUGGGGAUGUAGAUUGGUUCAGCCAGCAUGGAAAGCAGUUUGAACAUCUCUCAAAGUACUAAAAAUGGUGCUACCAUUUGACCCAGCAGUCCCAUUACUGAGUAUAUACCCCAAGGAAAAUAAAUCGUUCUACCAAAAAGACACAUAUACUCAAAUGUUCAUUGCAGCACUAUUCACAACAGCAAAGACAUGGAAUCAGCCUCGAUGCUCAUCAGUAGUGAACUGGAUAAAGAAAAUGUGGUACAUAUGCACCAUGGAAUACUAUGCAGCCAUAAAAAGAAUGAAAUCUUGUCCCUCCCAGCAACAUGGAUGCAGCUGGAGGCCAUAAUCCUAAGCAAAUUAAUGCAGGAAUAGAAAACCAAAUAAAGCAUGUUCUUACUUAUACGUGAGAGCUAAACAUUGGGUACACAUGGACGUAAAGAUGGAAAUAAUAGACCCUCAGGACUACCAGAGCAAGGAAGGAGGGAGAAGGGCCAGGGUUGAAAAGUACCCAUUGGGUACUAUGCUCAGUACCUGGAUGACCAGAUCAAUUGUACCCCAAACCUCAACAACAAGCAAUAUACUCAUGUAACCAACCUGUAACCAACCUGCACAUAUACCCCCUGAAUCUAAAAUAUAAAUUAAAUUUUUCUAAAAAGGGAAAAAGAAAAAAGUCAUGUUCUGCCCAUUGGUCAGCAGCAAUAAGUCAUAUCUCCCAGGUUUAUGCUCCCAAACCACACAAUCUUAAUCAAAUGUUUCAUCAUAAUCCCUGAUUUCUGGUAAAUUGAGUUCCCCACUCUUUGUUUUUUCUUUUUAAGAUAUAUAUUUUUUCUUGUCCUUUUGUUUCUCCAUAUACAUUUUAGAAUCAGUUUAUUUUGUUCAACAAACAAACAGACAAAAUCUGCCAGGAUUUGGAUUGGAAUUGAUUGAUAGAUCCAUUUGUUAAAAAUUAGCCUUAUUAUAAUUUUGAGUCAUCCUAUUUCUGAACAUGAGAUAUCUAUUUUGGGGAGAGAGGAGUCUUUAAAGUUUUCAAAUAAAGUUUUAAGAUUUUUCUAUAAAGUACCAAAGUAGCUGGAUUUAUUCUUAGGAAAUUUAUAUUUUGAUACUAUUAUAAUAGUAUCUUUUAAAACUAAAUUUCCCAAUGUAUAGAAGAAAUACAAUUUAUAUUUAAAUCCAAACAACUCUGAGGAACCCAAAUUACCCAGGCCAUUCACUUUCUUAAUAAUUGUAAUACUUUUUCUGUAAAUUCUGGGAUAUUUUGAUAUAGACCAUCGUACAGUCAGCUAAUAAUGUUAAUUUUAUUUCUUCCCUUCUAAUUCUUUUCUUUCUUUCUUACCUUACUGUGCUGUAUCCACUUCCAGUUCCACACUUAAUAGAAAUUAAUGUGGGUACUUUUUGAUGUUCUUCAUCUUAAAGGGACUAUUUCUAACAUAUCACAUUAAGUAUAAUGUUUAAUUUAUUCUGAGAGUCACAUUUUUCCCAUCUUCUCUAACAUCAUUUUGCUAAAAAUCUGAAUGUUACCCAACACUUUUUAAUGAAAUUAUUGGGAUCAUCAUGUUAUUUUUCUGUUUUGAUCUGCUAAUAUGAUAAAAUAUAUUAAUAGAUUGUCCUAUGUUAAACUACCUUCGCACAUCUGAGAUAAACGCAACAUGGUCAUCAUUUAUGUUCUUUGCUGUAUUCAGUUUGCUAAUAUAUUUAAGAUUUUUACAUCUAUUAUGUAUUAAUUAGGCUAGAAACUAAGCUGCUAUAACAAACAAAACCAACAUAUAUAGCACACAUAAGACAGACAUUUACUUUUCUCUCUGGCACAGGUAAUAGUCUGGAAUAGGGGAGUGGUUUGUGGCUGGUAGAGUUGCCUUGUGUAUUCAGUACUUAGCUUCCAAGUCAUCAUUAUUUCUCUGCCAGUUCAAAGAAGGGCAGAGAGUCCUGAACAGUCUUCAUAAAAAGACGACCAGGAAAUUGCCCUCCCCCUACCCAUUCAUAUCUCAUUCACCCAAAGCUAACUCCAUGGCUACAGAUACCUGAAAGUCAAACAGAAAAAUAUUUUCUGUGGCGUGGUGUCCAUGAACCCAGGUUGUAUGAAGUUCUGUGUGAAUGCCCAUCACUAAAAGAAACAAAGGGCAACUUAAAGGUGGGAGAUAGUUAACAGUUUCCAACACAUAUGGUCAUGAGAAAGACUGAACUCUAAUUUUGUUUGUUGUACUAUCCUCAACUUGGGUUUUGACAUGAAGAUCAUAUUAGCUUCCACCCCACCCCCCACCAAAAAAAAUUAGUUUGAUAAAUAUUCCAUCUCUUCCUACCCUUUGGUAUAAUGUGGGUGACUUUGUAACUUUAAAACAAAUGCGGUAGGACUUAUGAGUAAUAAGUACUACCUGGUGUUUUCUUUAUUUAAUGAUUCUGAAUGCUCACUAGAUACGAUAAUAUAAGCCCUUCUAUUUAUUCUUGAGUCAGUUUUGGGGGAUAUUGAAUAUGUUUUGAUAUUCAACAUCAUCAUUAUAAUUUUGUUUAAAUAUUCUCUAAAUGUUAUCACAAUUUCUUCUGUAACCCUUGAUGUUCUUUUUAGAAGAAGAACAUUUCCAUAAAUGCAAAAUUCAAAAUACCAUCUGUAGUAUGCUACCUCUUGUAUAAGAAGAGGAAAUUAGAAAACCAGUCAGGUAUCUGCUUUUAAUUUCAAAAACAACACAGGAAAGAUAAAUCAUCAAUGUUUUACUUCAAAGAAGUUUGUCACCUACAAGUGGUAAUGAGAAGCAGAGUGGAAAAAAUUUGGAGAGAAGUGACAUUUCUCUUAAUAUAGCUUUCUUGGUACAGUUUUUACUUUUGGAGGCAUGUUAAUGUUUUAUAUACUCAAAAGAAUAAAAUCAACUAGGUUGGGAAGGGAGGAAAAAAUAAAGUUAAAAGCAAAUAGAAACAAAUUAACCUAAUUUAUUUCAAAUGAAUACUAUAACCACACUGAAAGAAAAUUUAAAAGAACUAAGUAACUCACGAAAACAGUAUAUGACUGUAUAUUGUCUGUCUAGGGAAAAGUCGUGGCACAAGAGCUUCAAACAAAUCUGUCAUUCUUUUUAGUUUAUUUUGUUUUCUAUGGUGGCAUACAUAAAGCAAUUGUGAAACAAUUUAUGUUAUGGGAUCCAACAGGCAAGUAAGUGUGUCAAUUUUGUUGGGAGCCAGGUUUGUCAUUAUGAAAGAAGGGACAUACAAAUAUGUAAUGAGGGUGAACAAGAAAGAACCCUGUGAGGCCAGAUGCAGUGGCUCACGCCUAUAAUCCUAGCAUUUUGAGAGGCCAAAGCGGGCAGAUUGCUUGAGCUCAGGAGUUUGAGACUAACCCCAGCAACAUAGUGAAAACUCAUCUCUACUAAAAAUACAAAACCUAGCCAGGCGUGGUGAUGUGCACCUGUAGUGCCAGUAACUUAUGGGGCUGAGACAGGAGGAUUGCUUGAACCCAGGAGGUCAAGGCUGCAGUGAGCCAAGAUCACACCGCUGCACUCCAGCCUGCAUGACAGAGUGAGACCCUGUCUCAAAAAAAGAAAGAACCCUGUGGGAUGGAUUGGAAUGUAGCAAUCAGUGUAAAUUCAUAAUUUCUACAAUAAGCAUACUUGUGUAGGUAAUGCAUGUAAUAUGAGCGUAUGCAUACAUGUCUGUGUCCACAUAGGUAUAUAUUUGCCUGUGUGUAUAUAUACGCAGAUAUUUUCUAGCUCUAUUCAAUAAAAAGGCCUAGAAACAAAGGCAUCCCAGUAACUAUGAACACACCUAGCACUCUAAUCUUAGAUUCUAAUGCUGUGCCUCACUAAAAGAAACCAUGGCUCUGUUGAACAAGGACUCACUACAUUACUUUAAGAAGUAAACUCUGGGAAAAGAAAAACUUUUGACAAAUUAAACUUAACAGAAUUUAUUUGAGCAAAAAAUGAUUCAUGAACCAGGCAGCACUCAGAAUCAGAAGAGGUUCAAAGAGCUCCACCCAGGAGCAUGAGAAGUGAGCUUCCAUAGGCUGAACAUGGAAGCCAAGUAGAGAACACAUCUGAUUUGUUACAGCAAGGUGUUUGCCUUAUUUGGAUAUGGUCUGAUGAGUUGGCUGUCUGUGAUUGGCUAAAGCACUGCUGCUUAUGAUUGGCUGAGACCUGUUUUUUUUUUUUUACAUAAGUUAGACUCCUAAGUUAGAUUCCAGUUUGUUUCAGUACUACCUUAGGUUGCAGUUUCUCUUUAUUCUUUUUUUUUUUUUUUUUUUUUUUUUUGAGACCAAGUCUAGCUCUGUCACCCAGGCUGGAGUGCAGUGGCGCAAUCUCGGCUCACUGCAACCUCUGCCUCCUGGUUCACAUGGUUCUCCUGCCUCAGCCUCCUGAGUAGCUGGGAUUACAGGUGCGUGCCACCACGCCCAGCUAAUUUUUGUAUUUUUAGUAGAGACGGGGUUUUACCAUGUUGGUCAGGCUGAUCUUGAAUUCCUGACCUCGUGAUCUGCCUGCCUCGGCCUCCCAAAGUGCUGGGAUUACAGGCCUGAGCCACCAUGCCCGGCCAGAUUGCAGUUUCUUAUACAGAAACUUAAAGUAUGGAGACAGUCUUGGGCCAGUGGCCUCCUGCUUAUUUAACAACUCUCAGUCAUGUUUUUAUUUGCAGGUUAUUUGAUUCGUCACUCCCCAACUCCAUUGUUUUUAGAAUAUUAUCUUUGUCUUUGGUAUUGUGCAAUUUUCUAUCAUGUAUUUAGGUUUAACUGUAUUUAUUUAUACUACUUAGUAUAAAUAGCACAAAAUGGUAUAUAAAUGUUACAAAUACAUAUUUAGUGUAAAAUGAGGAAAUUAGUAAUUAAUUCUUCAAAUGUUGCUUCUGCCCCAUUUUUUCUUCUCUUUCUGGAUUGCCAGUAUGAUACGCUUUUUACCUUCUCUGUUAUCUGUUACUUGUUUUUUAGAUUUCUCUUCUCUUUGUCUCCAUUUUAUUCUGGAUAAUUUCUACAGUUCUAGUUUCAAAUUCAUUAAUUCUCUCUAAGCUACGUAUAAAAACUCUUAUUAACUGAAUUUUUACUUCCAAAGACACUUUCUACAGUAUCUUGUAGUUCUAUUUGUUUGCUUCUUUUUCAAAUAUUUGCUCUUUUUUUAAAAAAGUCUCUUGAUCUUUUUAUUCAUGUCUUCAAACUUGCUGGGAGUUUUUUUUACCUAUUAAACAUAAUUAUUUUACAUUCUGUGCUUGACAAUUCUAAUACCUGAAAACUUGCAGAUCUUAUUUUACCCUGUUUUCUUACCUAAUGCUUGUGCUCUUGCUGUGGUUUUGUGAUUUUUUUCAUUCAGUCUCAUGAGGGGAGUGUAAUUUCUGGUUCGCCCUACAGUAUGCAGGUAGACAAUUCAGAUGCCUCCUAUUGCAGGAUCUCAUAUGGGAGAUCUUGGAUGAACUCUGGCUUUCUUUGUCUUCUGCUCUGUACAUUUCAUUAAUUUGUGAAAAUGGAUGCUAAGUUUCAUUCUGAUGGUAAAUUCCCUUGAAACCAAGGUCAUCUUUAGUGCUUGGCUUACCUUUUUGGGUUCUUGCUUUAACUUGGUUUUGACCUUUCAGUCAUAAAGUAUUUUUAGGAUUUUAUUUUGAAUUUUUAGUUGUUUUCAACAGGAGGGUUAGUCAAGAUAUCUGGCCCACCAUACAGUUGGAAAGAAAUUUUACAAGUCACCUGUAUAUAUUUUAGUCAACCUUAUAUAUUUAUGGUUUAUACAUUAUUUUAUUUUAAAAAAACUUAAAAUGUACAGAUAAAAUACCACCUUACCUAACAUGUUCAUGUCACAUUGAAGAAAGAGUAGCAAUAUCAGGGCCAGAUCUCACUUCUCCCAACCCCUGCUUUAACGUCUUUCUACAACCAAGGAGUUGGCAAUAAGAAGGGGUUAGGAGGGAGGUGUUAAUCCAGGGCCUGAGAUUUAAUGCCAUUGUAAGUGGAGAUUGUGAACAUAAUGCUCCUGGGCAUGUGGACACACCUUCUGUCCCUGUGCAACUUCUGCUGCCUUGAAACUCUCAGACCCAAUUUUCAUUCUAGGUGCUUUCUUAAGACAAACCCUCAGUCUGGGAAAUUCACCAAAACUCGGUUUCACGUACAAACAUACACUUGAUUUCCACCAAUGAUAAUAUUUGGUUAGACUCACUUUUACAUUAAAUAUGUAUAUCUCUAGCAUGAAACAAUGUAAAUCAUAAUUAAAUAAUAUUUUCUGAUGAUUCUGUGUGCAUCAUUGUCUUUAACAAAUGUGUAUUACCCAUUGAAUGGUUGUGUCAUAGUUUGACCAGCAUUUUGUUUUUAGUACAUUCAUGUUGCUUCCAGCUCUUUUCCCUUACAAACUGAGCCUCUGUGAAUGCCUCUGUACUUCAUCUUUACUUAGUAUCUUUAAUUAUUUGCUCAGGAUAAAUUCUCAGAAUUUAAAUUGUGAGGUCAUAGGGCAUGCGUAUUUUUAAGGCUUGAUAGGUCCUACCCACAUGGCUCUCUGAGGAGCUGUGCGAGUUUACCUUCGACGAUGGCCCACAGAAACGUAGUGAUGGUGGCUGGCUUUUUAAAGAAGUGAAGGUGGUACCUUGAAAACUAAGUGAUACAUGAUCAUUCAAGCUGAAAGUGUCGAUGGUUUGCUGUAGGAUUAAACAUCACGUGGUGUUAGGUGUUCCUAGGCCGAUGGAUACACCCAAGGAUGAAAGAUGGUUAGGAGCCUGGACCAAGUCCUAUUAUUCAUGGAAUUUGUUCUGCAAAUUAAAAAAAAUGACCCCUUGAAAGUUGACUAAAGUGAAAUUCUAUGUUUGAACUCUGCUUUUCCAUUGACUCUCAUGUGAAAGCAAAUUAUAUAUUCAGUUAAUCCAUAAAUAUUUGUUAACUUGUUUAUUCAAGGUACAAUUUCCAUCAGGUUUUCCAAAAACAAAGACUAAGGAAAAACAAUGAUGAAACCAGUAACCUGAAGAAAUGAUCUGUCCUAAUUUAAUGACAGAAAUCGUUUUAGCUUCAUUUCCAACUCUCUCGUUCUUCUUUCUAAUACUGCACACACUCAAACCUGAAAGCACCAUAUCCACUCCCACUCUCCACCUCAAACAACUUAUAUUUAUCUAAGCAGGGCCUGUUGACCACUAGAGGAAAGUAUGAGAAAUUCAAGAUGCUAAGAUUACUUGUUAACAUUUAGUACUUAACCUGUGCCAGGAAACGACCUGAAGUUUUAAGAUGUAUCUACUCAUUACAUUCUAAUGAACAACCCUGGAAGUGGGUAGUUCCAUUACCUGUAAUCUGUCUAUGAAGAAACUAAGCCACUAUGGUGUUCAAGUCACACUCUCAGGAGAACGGGGAUAUUCUUUAUGAGACAAGAGGCAAUGAAGAUAGGUGGAGUAAAUGUAGAUACAGAUGAAUUUUUAGAUGAAAUGGAGAACAAUUGAAAGAAAUUGUCUUUAUCCUUUCUGCAAAAUAGGAGGUAAUAUAAGGAAAACUAAGACUAACGUUACUAUCCUUAGGCACUCUGAUGUCAAACAUUUUGCAUAUAACUUUUACCUACUCCUUACUACAGCCCUUCCAGAAAGAUAUUCAGUUGCUUAGUAAAAGUCUGCAAAUUCAACAUUGUUUUCCACCAAAUCUUGGUUCUUACCCCUCUGAUAUCUUACUAUUCAAUUCUCUAGUUGGUAGGAAUGAUCUUGGGAAAUUAUGAAGACCAGGGAAGGUUUGGAACAGUCACUGUAGGGAAUGAAACUCACAGCCAGUGAGAAGUGAGCGAAGAAUUGCCCCCAAAAGGUCUAUGCAUCAGAUCUUAGGAUUUGAGGUCACAAAGUGUGAUAUUAACAUGGAACCUCUCUGGAUGAUUGAAGGAUUCCCCAUAGAAGGCAGUGCUCAAAGGAUGAAGUUGAAACUGGGAGAUAAACAGAAUGUUUCAAAUCACGCUUUUGACGUUGAUGUACGCAAAUACCUAGAGUAGGAGGCAAAAAUCAUAUAUGAUACCUGCCAUGAGAGAGGAACGGAGAGGGCCAUACUUCCUUCACUCUAAUUCUAAAGUCUCGUAUUUUAAUGCCUCACAUUUGGGAUGUGUCUUUAAAUGGGUGGCAUCUUUUUCCACUGAUGGCGAGGUAGUCUUCAAAAUGUAGUUGUGAUUGCAUAUUCUAGAAAUUGGCCUUGACCCGAUCGUCCUCUCUGCAUGACUUAUGCUCACUGUGGAUAUCGUGAGUUAUAGUGCCAUUUAAAAUAUCUUCUAAGAAAAGUACUGUAUGGUUUCUCAUUGAAAAAAGUUAUUACAUACAUAAAGGAAUGGAAAUAGUGCUGCAAGGCAUGUAUGAUAUGUUAAUAGAGGAAAUAUUUGUAUCAAUGAAGUAAAUGUGAUCACAAGUCCAUAUGUUUUUGUGAAGCAGCAACCCAAGUGUUUUGCAUAACCUGUGCCAACAAAUAGAUGCAGCCAGUUAUGUCUGUUCCUGAGACAACUGGAAAGGAUUGCCUAGCACAGAUCAAACAGUGCACCUAAAGGGAGGAGAAAUUGCCAAAUUCCUGGAAAUAGGUGUAUUCCAGUUACCUCUUGCUACACAACAAAUUACUCCAAAACAAUCCUAAUAAUUUUAUCAUCUCUCACAUUCUCCAUGGGUCAGGCUAAGAAAGGGCUUGCCUGCAAAGUUCCAGCUUAAUGUCUGUCAUCCAGUUGCAGUUUGACGUGUCUGGAGAUGGGACAGUGGGGGGGCUGAAGCAGCUGGAAGCAGGUCAGGCAUCUUUCUGUCUUUCUGUAGCCACCAAGCCUCUUCCUGUGAUCUCUCUGCAUGGACUACUUUGGGCUUUGAUAUAACUUGGCAGACCCAGAUUAGCUGAACUGUUUACAUGGAAGCCAAAAGCUUCAAGAGCUAGAGCUGGUGACCCAUGAGCAAGGUCGAAGCCAAAUCUUUUAUGACCCAGCUUCCAGUGUCACAUAGAGUCACUUCUGCUGCAUUCCGUUGGUUUCCAAGAGAUUCAGAAGCCAUCCAGAUUCUGGAGGAGGGGAAUUAACUUCACCUCUUGAUUGGAAAGUAGCAAGUUUCUAGAACAUAUGGUCUAGGAGAUGUUGUUGCAGCUGUAUUUGGAAAAUACAAUCUGCCACUAGAUGAAGGAAAUGUCAAAGUGCCAGGAAGCUGGUGUUACCAGUUCAUUCAUUGUGCAGGACUUAACAUUAAAGCACUGAAAUUCCACUGAACUUCCUGCUGACUGAACAAAGCCAUCUAACUUCCAGCCACGUGUGAUUCAGUCAGGGAAAAAAAAAUGAAAUUACAAGGUUAUGUUAAUUAAACCUUGGUGCUCUUGAAGUAUGUUGUCAAUGCUAAAGGUAUUAAAGAAGUCAAAUUCAUAAUCACCAGUUGCACAUCUUCCAUGUCUAAAUAAUCCUAGAGCAGCUCAUUCAGUAAGUUAGAAUAGGAAUUUCAAGUCAUUAAAAAACAAAAAUACCGUCAUAGUUUAACUGGCAACAUUUUCUCUUAAUGGUGUGUGAAAUAAUGGUGUGUCUUACAAUUUAUGGCAUUUCUAGCUUUGAUGAAGUGCAGUAAGUGCCAUGAAGGUGCAAUGUCAGGAGAAAUUUCCUUUUCCUGGCAUGGUCAGGAAAGGACCCAGAGGAGAAAUGGUUCUGGGAAGCUCUAGGCUUUGGAAGGUAGAAAACAGACUGCAGAGAGAAACAGGAAGUCAAGGAGCAUGUUUGAAAAGCACUUUAAACGAAGCCCCGCCCCUUCCGCCCAGGCUUUGCCUGGCAUCCUGUAUGUGUAUUUCCCACUCCAAUCAGUCUUUCCCUUUUCCCUUGUGAAAUUCCUGUCAGUCCUUCGUGACUCCUUGCAGGUCCUGCCCACUGCAUAUUGAGAAGAUUUUUCGUGACUGCCACUGGAAGAUAGGUGGAGUGGAGGUGGGAGGCAGUGUUAACUCUCAAUCCAGACCCCUAGAGAGUGUUCUUGGAUCUCACGCAGGAGGGCAUUCAAGGUGAGUCACAAAGGGCAGUGAAAGAGGCAAGUUUAUUAAAAACUGCUCUAUGGAGUAGAAUGCCCUCAGAAAGGAAGAAGAGGAAUGCCUGGUAGUGGGAAGAGAUAGUUUAUUGAAAGUUACCGAUUACAGAGUAGGGCAUCCUGAGAAAACAAGCAGAGGAAUGCACCAUCUUUAAGUUUUUCUUAUAUAGGGGUCUUCUCUAUGUAAAGACUAAACUAAGCUGUGACUAUGUAAGAGUGAGAAGAUGACAUGACAAAAUAUAUUAUUCUACUGAUUUAAAGAAAACUACCCUUGACAUUUUAUUUAUUUAUUUAUUUAUUUACUUAUUUAUUUAUUUAUUUGAGACGGUGUCUAGCCCUGUUACCCAGGCUGGAGUGCAGUGCUGCGAUCUGGGCUCACUGCAACCUCUGCCUCCUGGGUUCAAGUAAUUCUCAUGCCUCAGCCUCCCGAGUAGCUGGGACUACAGAGGCACGCCACCACGCCCGGCUGAUUUUUUUGUAUUUUUAGUAGAGACGGGGUUUCACCAUGUUGGCCAGGCUGGUCCUGAACUCCUGACCUCAGGUGAUCCACCCGCCUCGGCCUCCCAAAGUGCGGGUAUUACAGGCGCCAGCCACCGUGCCUGGCGCCAGUCUAUCCUUGACAUUUUAGUAUGUGAGUAUAUCAAAACAUAACUUGUUAUCUUGAAAGCUUAUUAUCGUUAUGGGUAUUGGGACAUCUGGAUUCUCCAUUAUUGUGAGAGCAUGUCCUUGUAGGUAUCUUUAGGCUGCUUCCUCAACUAUAAGCAUCUUAGGACCAUGGGUCGUGACUGGCAAGAAAUGUACCUUGCUAGUUUGAAAAUGAAGUUGAUUUUAAAAUGGCAGCAGUCUGGUUCCCCUAGGCUCCUGCUUUCCCUAACAGCGGCAUGCAGCACAGAGCUCGGUUUGCCUGUUUUACCUAUCAGAAUUUUUGGUAAGGUUUCUAGUGAUGAAUGGGGUUCACAGCUUAGAAAUGAAAAUAAAAAUGUAAAUCAUUGCAAUAUACCACACACUUCCGUGCUCAGUCAUACAGCAGCCCAUGAAUUAGCCAUCCCCCAUCCAUUUAAUUAGUGCCUAUUUACUAAGCAUCUUCUAGGUGCCCCAUUAAUUAGCCAACCUCCGUUCAUCUGAUUAAUGCCUAUUUACUGAGCAUCUUCUAGGUGUCUGGUACUGUGUGAGCCAAUGGCUACUUCUGGUAUAUUUUGUUUCAUGAAACUUCUGAGUUGGAGAGAAAGAAAUUAAGUAAGUUUUGCAAUGACCAAAUUAGAAAUUGAUGAAAGAGUAAGGAUGUUAUAAGAACGACAGGGAUGAAAUGAUUUUUACAGGGGCAUUUUAACCACUUUAAAUCUAAAUCAAUUAUGUUUGAUUAUGCCAUAUUUUCUUAACCUCUAUAAGCUGAAUUUUAUUCGAUAUCUUUAUAACUAAGUUUUCCUCAGCAUUAAAUAUGUGUUUUGAUUCCCUCAGCAGUUACUGAAGAGAAUGGUACUUAAUUACUGAGAAAUACUUCACAUGCAUUUUCUCAUUAAUUCUCACAACUUUAUGAAGUAAGUACUGUUAGCAUACUCCUUUUUAAUAGAUACCAACUGAGAUACAGAGAAAAUGAGAACAUUGCUCAACCAAAGUUAUACUGUAGGCAGCCGAACUUGAGCACAUUUGCUUUACCAUAUGAGCUAUUUUAUGACCAUUAUAAAGGCCGUAGGAUUCACUCAUACUUCGUAGUUAAAGCUUAUGUAUGUUUUUUAAAGUUUUGUUGUUUCCUCUUUUAUGUUUUUAGUCACCCUUCUUGAGCUACAAUUUAACACCAUCCAUUGUAUCCCUUUAGAGUGUACAGUUUGAUCAUUUUGACAGUUGUAUACAUUCAUGAUAUCACCAUGCAGACAAGAUAUCAAACUUCCCAGCAUCUCCAGAAGUUUCUUCAUGUGCCUUCUCAGUUCGUUCCUCAUCUCUCUAAGAUUUUAGCGACCACUGAGAGAGAGAAAGAGACACACAGAGAGAGAAACAGAGACAGAGACAGAGGGGGACAAAGACAGAGACAGGCAGGAACAGAAAGAAUGAAUCCCUUUUGUGCUUUUUGUACCUGGCUUCUUUCUCUCACAUCAUGCUUUUGAGAUUCACCCUGCUGUGGCAUGUGUCAGUAAUAUCAAUGUAAUGUUUUGUUGCUGAAUAGAAUUGUAUGUGUCUAUCACAAGUUAUUUAUCAAUUUACCAGUUGGAUAUUUGGGUUAUUUUCAGUUUUGGGGCUAUUGUGAAUGAAAUUGCUGUGAAUAUUUGUGUACAUGUCUUUUUGUGGACAUACAUACAUAUCUACACCAACACUUGGUAUGAUUGGCCUUUUUAAAAAUUCCAGCUAUUUUAAGGAUGUACAUUAGUAUAUUAUUAUGAUUUUAAUUUGUACUUCCUUGAUGAUUAAUGAUAUUAAGCAUAUUUUCUUGUGCUUAUUGGCCAUGUGUAUAUCUUUUAUUUAAAAAUAAAUGUUUGUUCAAAUUUUUUUUUAGAAGGAGUCUUGCUCUGCUGCCUAGGCUGGAGUGCAGUGGCACAAUCUCAGCUCACUACAACCUCCACCUCCUGAGUUCCAGGGAUUCCCCUGACUGAGCUUCCUGAGCAGCUGGGAUUACAGGCACCUGCCACCAUGCCCGGCUAAUUUUUUUUUUCUUUUAGUAGAGACGGAGUUUCAUCAGGUUGGUCAGGCUGGUCUUGAACUCCUGACCUCAAGUCACUCAGGAGUCGAGGCCUCCUACCUCAGCCUCCCAAAGUGAGCCACCACACCCAGCCUGUUGUUGUAUGUUCUUAUUCAUGCAUUCUCCAAUGCAUAUGUAUGUCUAUUUGUAUGUAAUACACACAUAUCAUUGAAAUUGCAUUUUUUAUUUAUAAUUUUUAAAAAUAGAAAUUGAAAAUAAUGAAAUAAAUCUAAACUUUUAAUAUUUUCCUCUUCAUGAAUCAUUCUAUGAUUUCAUACUCAGAGAUACAAUCCAGGAUUCUUAAAUUUAAAUUAUAUUCUGGAAUUAAGCCCUCACGUGUGAGUGUUACAGUAGUGAAAUUUCAUGCAUUAGAUUUCAGAACAAUCAGUAGAGGAACUGUGUUUAUUAAUAAUUAGACUUAUAUUUAGAAACCGUAUGUCAUAAUAAUAAAUAAAAAUUUCUUUUGUAAUGACACAAUGAAUUAACAGUAAAACUGUCCUUUAAAAAUUUCGAACAUCACAUACUCAAUUUUGGCCAAUCUUUAUUUGUUGCUUAAAAAAUAAGCAUUUCUACACUGCUUUACUCAAAACCACCACAGAGUUGUGAAAAGAAUUGCUGUGCAUUUCUCAUGAAAAUGUUUGGAUACCCCACCACGCACAUCUGUACAAUUCUCAUAUUUAUAAUCAUUCAUAUUCAGAAUAGUAUGUGCCUUCUAAGUAUGCCAGUGAAAAAUAAAAUGAUUACUUUUCCUCAAACGUUCAGCAGGCAGUCUAAAUUAGCCAGCUGGUCUCUUGUCAUGGCUGGAAAUAUAUAGCUUUUUAUAAAAAGUGACAGUAAAUAUGUCUAUGGCCCAGUUACUUUAUAUGCAAGUGGAAAUUCCAUCAGUGCAAUGACUUAUGAUUGGAGAAGAGCAAAAAAGUGUAUAAAGAAAGAGAAGCAAUGAGAAUAGUGUUUCAUGUGCCUUGCAGUGGCUCACAAAAAAAUAACUCAUUUUUAGGAAGUGAAAUCACCUUGUUUUAUGGCUAGGCAGUAAUCUCAAGGUCCACUUGUUAAGUUUUUUUUUAUUAUUGAAGAUUCAGAAGUCAUUUAAAAACAUGACCUGUUAGAACAAUUCAAUGCACCAAGUCUAUUUGGAAAAAUUGUGUGGUAAAUCAUGAUUCAUUAUGCAAUUGUGAUCAGCACACAGUGUUAUAAAUUCAUCUAUCUUGACUGUAUAGUCCUUUCCAUGCAGUUUCUUUAUACAGUCUAUUAGUCCACACCCCACAUUUAUUUAUUCUUCUUUGCUUGUUCUAUUUUGUUAUAUUAUUUUUCUGUGUUUUAUGUUUUGCUCUAUUUUAAACUAUUUACUUUGUUUAAACUAUUACUCUAUCUGAAACUUUUUAUUGGUCUGUCUUUUGUAAUCUAACUUGUGUCACCAAUACCAUAAAAUGUAUGAUAGGAACAAAAUGCCAUAAUAAAUAAAACUAUCUGUAUCUGCACCAA